GGGGCUGUAGCUCAGCUGGGAGAGCGUUCGGUUCGCAUCCGAAAGGUCGAGGGUUCGAAUCCCUUCAGCUCCA
rnacentral:tRNA from 2 species